UGCUACAGGCUUAACACAUGCAAGUCGAGGGGCAGCAUUUCAGUUUGCUUGCAAACUGGAGAUGGCGACCGGCGCACGGGUGAGUAACACGUAUCCAACCUGCCGAUAACUCGGGGAUAGCCUUUCGAAAGAAAGAUUAAUACCCGAUGGUAUAAUCAGACCGCAUGGUCUUGUUAUUAAAGAAUUUCGGUUAUCGAUGGGGAUGCGUUCCAUUAGGCAGUUGGUGAGGUAACGGCUCACCAAACCUUCGAUGGAUAGGGGUUCUGAGAGGAAGGUCCCCCACAUUGGAACUGAGACACGGUCCAAACUCCUACGGGAGGCAGCAGUGAGGAAUAUUGGUCAAUGGGCGCAGGCCUGAACCAGCCAAGUAGCGUGAAGGAUGACUGCCCUAUGGGUUGUAAACUUCUUUUAUAUGGGAAUAAAGUUUUCCACGUGUGGAAUUUUGUAUGUACCAUAUGAAUAAGGAUCGGCUAACUCCGUGCCAGCAGCCGCGGUAAUACGGAGGAUCCGAGCGUUAUCCGGAUUUAUUGGGUUUAAAGGGAGCGUAGGUGGACAGUUAAGUCAGUUGUGAAAGUUUGCGGCUCAACCGUAAAAUUGCAGUUGAUACUGGCUGUCUUGAGUACAGUAGAGGUGGGCGGAAUUCGUGGUGUAGCGGUGAAAUGCUUAGAUAUCACGAAGAACUCCGAUUGCGAAGGCAGCUCGCUGGACUGCAACUGACACUGAUGCUCGAAAGUGUGGGUAUCAAACAGGAUUAGAUACCCUGGUAGUCCACACAGUAAACGAUGAAUACUCGCUGUUUGCGAUAUACAGUAAGCGGCCAAGCGAAAGCAUUAAGUAUUCCACCUGGGGAGUACGCCGGCAACGGUGAAACUCAAAGGAAUUGACGGGGGCCCGCACAAGCGGAGGAACAUGUGGUUUAAUUCGAUGAUACGCGAGGAACCUUACCCGGGCUUAAAUUGCAUUUGAAUAUAUUGGAAACAGUAUAGCCGUAAGGCAAAUGUGAAGGUGCUGCAUGGUUGUCGUCAGCUCGUGCCGUGAGGUGUCGGCUUAAGUGCCAUAACGAGCGCAACCCUUAUCUUUAGUUACUAACAGGUCAUGCUGAGGACUCUAGAGAGACUGCCGUCGUAAGAUGUGAGGAAGGUGGGGAUGACGUCAAAUCAGCACGGCCCUUACGUCCGGGGCUACACACGUGUUACAAUGGGGGGUACAGAAGGCAGCUACCUGGUGACAGGAUGCUAAUCCCAAAAGCCUCUCUCAGUUCGGAUCGAAGUCUGCAACCCGACUUCGUGAAGCUGGAUUCGCUAGUAAUCGCGCAUCAGCCAUGGCGCGGUGAAUACGUUCCCGGGCCUUGUACACACCGCCCGUCAAGCCAUGAAAGCCGGGGGUACCUGAAGUACGUAACAGCAAGGAGCGUCCUAGGGUAAAACUGGUAAUUG
rnacentral:rRNA from 1 species